rnacentral:rRNA from 1 species
UACGGAGGGUGCAAGCGUUAUCCGGAUUCACUGGGUUUAAAGGGUGCGUAGGAGGGCAGGUAAGUCAGUGGUGAAAUCUCCGAGCUUAACUUGGAACUGCCGUUGAUACUAUCUGCCUUGAAUAUUGUGGAGGUGAGCGGAAUAUGUCAUGUAGCGGUGAAAUGCUUAGAUAUGACAUAGAGCACCAAUUGCGAAGGCAGCUCGCUACACAUAUAUUGACUCUGAGGCACGAAAGCGUGGGGAUCAAACAGG